GCCCAGGUAGGAGACCUGCUGCUCUCCUAGGGGGCUGGAAGCAUGGAGUGGGAGCUGCAGGGCUUGUUGGGGCUGAUGGAGCUGGCUUUCAGCCCUGUGCUGUAAUGGGCAGAGCGCAGGAGCAAAGGCAGCAUGGAGAUGGCAAUCUGUACCUCACCUCUUUCUGGUACCAUCCACCCGAGGACCCAUCUGGUGCAUGAGCAGGAGAGCCUUCAGUGUUAAUUACCCCUCUGCAAGUGCCACAUCUCUGUGUCCCACGAGUAUCCCCAGGGAUGGAGGCCUCCACUGUUCCAUGGGCAACCUGUGCCGGUGCAUUACAGCUCUUCAGAAAAGAAAUGUUUCCAAACGUCCGACCUGAUCCUCUCCUGGUGCAACGUGGGGCCAUCACCUCUCAUCCUAUCAACACCGCCGCCUUCUCUAAGCCAUCGCUGCAGCCGCAGCAGGAAGUGCCCCACAGCCUCUUCCCACCCAGCAGCGGGCGCUCCUGACGCGGGGUGCUCCAUGGAACGUGGCACAGCUCCAUCUGGCUGAUCCCAAGGAAUGCCCGGGCGCAGCCGCAGCUCCGGGGGAUUAAACUGAAGUCUAACGUUACACCCCUUGGAAGAGCAGAGCUUUACUUGGAAACCGAAUCGCAUUAAUUAGCAUUCUGCUAAUGGCUGUUUUGUAUAAAUAUAGUGUGCCUUAAUACCAACACGAGUCGCAGGUUGACAUAUUUAGAUCGCUGAUAUCAAAGUCAUUAACGCCUCUCCGUGGUAAACCUAUUCUCAGUUCGGGCUGCAAAUGGGAUUCUCCUGAGCCAAUCAAUCUUCCUAAAGCCUGAGCAGAGCCUGUUGAUCU